GAUGAAGAACGCAGCGAAAUGCGAUAAGUAAUGUGAAUUGCAGAAUUCAGUGAAUCAUCGAAUCUUUGAACGCACAUUGCGCCCGCCAGUAUUCUGGCGGGCAUGCCUGUCUGAGCGUCAUUUCAACCCUCAUGCCCCUAGGGCGUGGUGUUGGGGAUCGGCCAAAGCCCGCGAGGGACGGCCGGCCCCUAAAUCUAGUGGCGGACCCGUCGUGGCCUCCUCUGCGAAGUAGUGAUAUUCCGCAUCGGAGAGCGACGAGCCCCUGCCGUUAAACCCCCAACUUUCCAAGGUUGACCUCAGAUCAGGUAGGAAUACCCGCUGAACUUAAGCAUAUCAUAGCGGAGGA
rnacentral:misc_RNA from 1 species